rnacentral:lncRNA from 1 species
CAACUCAAGACUGCAAUCAAUAUCCUCAACCACAAGUAUUGAUCGGUUUCCAGUGGCGAUCAGUAUUCUCCUCAGAUCAGAGUUGGUUUGAAUAUCGGUGAGUUCUAAGUCAUAAAUGUCAAAGUUUAAAUAAUUUGCCAUUGCAGCAAUCAAACUUGAUUUUCCUGUACCAGGAGGACCAUAUAACAAAUAUCCACGUUUCCAUGCCUUCCCUACUCUUCUGUAAUAUUCUUUCCUCUUUAGAAAUCUCUCAAGGUCUUCCAUUAUCAUGGUCUUGAGCUCUGUAUUCAUCGCCAGUGUUUCAAAUUUUGCAGGAUGAUCAAGGAUUAUUGGUUGCCAUACUCCGCCUCCAUGCCUCCGCAUAUAGUCGUACAAAGUGUAGAGCUUUAAGGUUUUCUUCUCUUCUGUUAAACAACUUGAUUCUUUUAAUAUAAAAGGCAAGUAGGAGUUUAAAACCUUAUCCUUGUGUUUCUUGUGGAAAGUAAGCUCAAAAGAUCGAAUUUCGGAUCGGACCUUGUAAGUAUGACCUUGAGCUGCCAUGUGAUUGGAGUCAACUUGUCUGGUAACCUGCCUCC